GCCGCUUGCCCCGUGAAUACACAGCGUCACCUUCGAAGGAGUCCGGGCAAGGAAGGAUGGGAGACGCACUGCUCCGACGGAGCGGGGAGGAACGCGCUGGGCACCCCCGGGGUCACCGCGCCGGAGAGCGCACACCGGGGGGCGCUGCGCGCCCGCGGCGCAGCUCCGAGGCUCGGGCAGGCUGGGAGCCAGGCAGCGAGGCAGAAGGGCCGGAGAAGGAUGCGGGGCAGCUCGCUUUCCCCCGAUAGAAGGAGUUGGGUGGUGAUGCAGGGAAAGCCCGGGCACAGCUGAGAGCAGCCGCCUGUUCCAGAGCGCUGACGAUAAAAUAAGAAAACUAAUUCCCACCGCCCACCCUGCGAGCGAAACUGGAGCGGCGUUCCUACUCUCCGACAGCAAAAACUGUUCCAAAGGCGCUUCUCGGUCCCGCCCAUACUGUGUUCCUUCCCCACCCAGGGACGACGUUUCCGUGUCACCUCUGCUCACAGUGCUGGUCUCUCCUGCCCCGUCCCACAGCGCUGCGCUCUGGAGCCGUCGGUUUUUGCACCUGCGAAAACUACGCGGCAGCGUUUAGCUCUUCGCAGACUGAAAGCCGGGAAUGUCACAGCGCUGAGCCCCAGGUGGCUCCCAAGAGAGAUGCCCGUCGGCGGCAGCUGCAGCACCCCGAGCACGCAGCUCUGGGAGACUGUUCAUCAUACGAGGAAUCCCAGAGCAACACAGCAGCUCCUUCCCAGGAAGGAUGAGUUUGUCACUGCUCCAAAACAGAUAACUGGGCUCCCAGCUGGUGGCAUUUGGUGGCUGUUCCUUCAGAGGGGAUAUUGGAGAAGCAGCACUGGUACCAUUCGUCUGUCCCCUUUUCAUCUGGUGCCCACAAGGAAUAAAGUAGCAGGUAACACCUCUCCUCACUCCCACAGUGGGAAUCUGGUGCUGGUACAUUGCUGCAUUUCCACAUUAAAUUAGUAAUAAUAAUCGUAAAGAGAGGAAAAAAUGAAGAGCAAACUGUUGCUUUGCUUCCAUAGAAAAC
rnacentral:lncRNA from 1 species